CGCACACUGCACCAAAUCACAAGAUCCUCACUCACACGAAGAAAUCAAGAAGGAAGAAGAAGGGAGAGCACGAAGCGAAUACACGCACCAAGUACGUAAACAGAAAGAAGCGCAAUCGAUACAUGUUGUUAACAUCGCGGUGAAACCGAAAUGCAUGUAUGAAGAUUGAGAAAUAUCAGACUGCCAAGACUUCUUUAGAGACCGGUGCCGCAUUGGUUGCAGACACAUCAAGAUUUGUUAAUUUGACCAAAGAAUGCGAUAGGCUCAUUUCAGACUGACAUGAUCUUGGAUGACAUUGUCUUAAACAAAGGUGAAAUCCACUUAGCACAUUUGUAUAUGAUGAUAAAGAUGCUGUAAGAGAGGAUCCUUUGACUGAGUAUGUUCAUACUCUGAAGGUUUUUGAGGGAGAACUUUGGAUGUUUGUGUUGCUUAUGUUAGAGCUAGGGUUUUGUGAUAUUGCAGGUUGAAAUAGUUAUGGGAUUAGAGGAAGAAUUUGGGCUCAAUAUUGAGGAUGAUAACUCUGAAAACAUCACAACCAUUCAAGAAGCAACUGAUUUGAUGCAGAGGAUAAACCCAGUUGUGUUAGUAACUCGGUUCUGGUUUAGUGUUUUGGUUCAGUUGUAUUAAGCUAAUUUGCCAUUUUGUUGAUUGAUUGAUUAGUUAAUUAAGUUGUCUUUUUCAUUGUUUGGUUUCUUGCAGUCAAAGAUGUUCAAAGCGUGACUUUUUUCCCCAUAUGCCCCAAAGUUGAAAAGAAUUUCCCACCUUGCCCCAGUUUGAAAAAAAAUUCUCAAUCUGCCCCCU